GGCCCUCUGGCGUAACUGGCAGCCGCGCCGCGCUCAAACCGCGGUUCUCACACCGAGAGUGCGGGUUCGAUUCCCGCGGGGGCCA
rnacentral:tRNA from 2 species